rnacentral:rRNA from 1 species
CAGCGCCACGAGUGGCAUACAUAUUUAUUGGGCCUAAAGCGUCCGUAGCCGGUUUGGUAAAUCUUUUGUGAAAUCAUAGGGCUUAACUCUAUGGCGUGCAGAAGACACUGCCUGACUUGGAACCGGAAGGAGUCAGAGGUAUUCUGGGGGGAGCGGUAAAAUGCUAUAAUCCCUGGAGGACCACCUGUGGCGAAAGCGUCUGACUAGUACGGAUUCGACGGUGAGGGACGAAAGCCAGGGGAGCAAACCGGAUUAGAUACCCGCGUAGUCC